ACGAACGCUGGCGGCAUGCCUAACACAUGCCAGUCGAACGAGACCUUCGGGUCUAGUGGCGCACGGGUGCGUAACGCGUGGGAAUCUGCCCUUGGGUUCGGAAUAACAGUUGGAAACGACUGCUAAUACCGGAUGAUGACGUAAGUCCAAAGAUUUAUCGCCCAAGGAUGAGCCCGCGUAGGAUUAGCUAGUUGGUGAGGUAAAGGCUCACCAAGGCGACGAUCCUUAGCUGGUCUGAGAGGAUGAUCAGCCACACUGGGACUGAGACACGGCCCAGACUCCUACGGGAGGCAGCAGUGGGGAAUAUUGGACAAUGGGCGAAAGCCUGAUCCAGCAAUGCCGCGUGAGUGAUGAAGGCCUUAGGGUUGUAAAGCUCUUUUACCCGGGAUGAUAAUGACAGUACCGGGAGAAUAAGCUCCGGCUAACUCCGUG
rnacentral:rRNA from 1 species